rnacentral:rRNA from 1 species
AGAUUGAACGCUGGCGGCAUGCCUUACACAUGCAAGUCGAGCGGCAGCGCGGGGCAACCCUGGCGGCGAGCGGCGAACGGGUGAGUAAUACAUCGGAACGUGUCCAGUAGCGGGGGAUAACCUGUCGAAAGAUAGGCUAAUACCGCAUACGAUCUACGGAUGAAAGCGGGGGACCGCAAGGCCUCGCACUGUUGGAGCGGCCGAUGUCGGAUUAGCUAGUUGGGCGGGUAAAAGCCCACCAAGGCGACGAUCCGUAGCUGGUCUGAGAGGACGACCAGCCACACUGGAACUGAGACACGGUCCAGACUCCCUACGGGAGGCAGCGAGUGGGGAAUUUUGGACAAGUGGGGGCAACCUGAUCCAGCCAUGCCGCUUGAGUGAAGAGGCCUUCGGGUUAGUAA